rnacentral:rRNA from 1 species
AUUGAACGCUGGCGGCAGGCCUAACACAUGCAAGUCGAACGGUAACAGAACUAGCUUGCUAGUUGCUGACGAGUGGCGGACGGGUGAGUAAUGCUUGGGAACUUGCCUUUAGAGGGGGAUAACAGUUGGAAACGACUGCUAAUACCGCAUAACGUCUACGGACCAAAGGGGGCUUCGGCUCCCGACCUAGAGAGAGGCCCAAGUGAGAUUAGCUAGUUGGUGAGGUAAAAGCUCACCAAGGCGACGAUCUCUAGCUGUUCUGAGAGGAAGAUCAGCCACACUGGGACUGAGACACGGCCCAGACUCCUACGGAGGCAG